UACGUAGGGUGCGCGCGUUAAUCGGAAUUACUGGGCGUAAAGCGUGCGCAGGCGGCGCGUUAAGACAGGUGUGAAAGCCCCGAGCUUAACUUGGGAAUUGCGCUUGUGACUGGCGUGCUGGAGUGUGGCAGAGGGAGGUGGAAUUCCACGUGUAGCAGUGAAAUGCGUAGAGAUGUGGAGGAACACCGAUGGCGAAGGCAGCCUCCUGGGCCAGCACUGACGCUCAUGCACGAAAGCGUGGGGAGCAAACAGG
rnacentral:rRNA from 1 species